rnacentral:rRNA from 1 species
UACGUAGGGUGCAAGCGUUGUCCGGAAUUAUUGGGCGUAAAGAGCUCGUAGGCGGUUUGUUGCGUCGGCUGUGAAAUCCCGAGGCUCAACCUCGGGUCUGCAGUCGAUACGAGCAAACUAGAGUGUUGCAGGGGAGACUGGAAUUCCUGGUGUAGCGGUGAAAUGCGCAGAUAUCAGGAGGAACACCGGUGGCGAAGGCGGGUCUCUGGGCAACAACUGACGCUGAAGCGCGAAAGCGUGGGGAGCAAACAGG